rnacentral:rRNA from 1 species
UACGGAGGAUGCAAGCGUUAUCCGGAAUGAUAGGGCGUAAAGCGUCCGCAGGUGGCUGUGUAAGUCUGCUGUCAAAGAGCGAAGCUCAACUUCGUAAAGGCAGUGGAAACUACACGGAUAGAGUGCGUUCGGGGCAGAGGGAAUUCCUGGUGUAGCGGUGAAAUGCGUAGAGAUCAGGAAGAACACCGGUGGCGAAGGCGCUCUGCUAGGCCGCAACUGACACUGAGGGACGAAAGCUAGGGGAGCGAAUGGG